rnacentral:lncRNA from 1 species
AGUCUAUCCAUAUCUCAAUGCCGUAUUCAGCUGAGAGUGCAGCAGCUGAUGGGAACAGGAUUAGUGCUUUUGGCUCCACACGUUUCAUAUGCUGACGUAACACAGAUCUUUCCACUUGAAUUCAUCUCAAUGUUAACACAUAACAGUCCUGUAACCAUAAACAUUGGCCAGGAAACAUAAAGAACUGUGCGUAUAUGAUCAAUCAAUACAGACUCCUUUGGCUGAGUCUGCACCUUGAUGACAGAUAAGGGCAGAACUAGGAAUAUGUGCAUUUAUCUACAUCAGCUGAGGCUUUGUUGUCUAUCGAACUGCAUGGUUAAAGGGGAAUGGAAACACUUUAGGAAGUUUAUCUAAGCAAAGAGAUGUGUUCAAUACACUAUUACUAAAACAUGUGCAUUUAAAAUAAAAACAUCUCUAUAUUUAGUAUUUUGAUCGUCGAAUAGGUUUAUUUGAGCUAUGGUCAGCGCCAUUUUAAAUUGCUAUAGUAACGACUGACGCCAGUGCAUCACUAGCAGGAAUCAUCAAAUUGUCUGUGGUAUUGAGUUUUCGCCCGGAGAGUGAAUUGAAGAGAGUGAGGUUAGGUGCGGACAACGAAGAUGGCAACAACAAGUAGUAAUUUAAACAUGAACUGUAUAGAGCCAGGCUGUAUGUAUUAGCUCCAAAAAAAAAUCCCUCGGUAAGCUACCAUCGGCUGCCCGAGGACCCACAACUUUUGAAGAAGUGGCUCCAUGUCCUGAAGAGGAAGGACAUGCCAGCUCGAGCUAGCAGGGUCCGCAGACAGCACUUUUUGGAGGCAGACUUCGCAAUGAAGGGCACUUUCGAUGCAGCAACUGGGAGUUUCUGAAUGGAAAGGAGUCAUAGGCCUACGUUGAAGCCCUCUGCUUGCGCCUCCAUUUUACAUUUGGAGGGUUAUCGUGUAGGGGUUACCGACCGACCAUCAUCAACAUCGCUGACUUCGGAGUCAAGCAAAAGCGACUGGACGGAGGAGGCGACGCGAGUCAAUGCAAUGGAGUCUGAGGAUGACAUCUUCAUCCCUGAAAAGGUUUUCAUCCUGGAGGAGACUGUGCAGGAGGCAAAGGAGGAAAGAAUGGUUAGUACAGCAUGCCAAACUGACCCCUGGGUGCCAGACUGUUCCUGUGCUGCGGUGGAGAAGAGGUCCACUGGGACCAUCACUAAAGCGCUCUGGGCCCAGCUAGAUUGAGCCCACGACCAUCAGUAUACAACCGAGUCCGGCCCCUAAACGCCACAGAUGGAGCUGACGGAGAGUGAGAUCAGUGAAGACCAGAACUCACUGUAUGAACCUGCGGGCUCAGAAUCACAAUCAUCACAGUAUGAGCCAAAAUAUACUACCAAUCACUUUGUGGGAGCGGGCUGGUGUUCCGAAAAUGGAAAAGGAACAAGCCAUGGACAGCGAAUUCAAAGAAACAACCAUCCAUAAAGGGAAUCGGAGUGGAAUUGUGUUUCCAAAGAUUUUUUACCCGUUUCAACAGAUGUGCUACCUUGUCCCGGUCCUGCUGUUUCGACUCUCUCUCUCAACCUAUGAAUGCUCAGCGAUGAAAAGCCAACUGACAUUUGCUCCUGAGGUGUUGUUAUAAUUUUGAUGUAAAAACGGCUUUUGUGAAACACAUUUGAUAGAUUGUUUGUUGUGCUGGAUGCUGUGUAUUCACUAACUGUCCUAGUGAUGGGACAUUUAUGUCUGUAACAUAUUUUGGUGUGUAUUUAAUCUGCAUCUUAACUUCUUAAAGUGGCAAUCAGCAGUAGAAACAAUAACAAAGUGUCUCCCUGCUCCUCUUUCGAUAAAAAGCUGAGGGAUGGGGCUGGAGAAAUCUAACCACUCUCAAAUUCAUAGACGGGCCUAUAGAUGCAAGGACUGACCAUCCAUGAUAUCAAAAUUGUAGUCCUGUUUCUAUGACCUGUUUCCAUUACCAUGUACCCAGUUCGCUUUGGAUAAAGGCGUCUGCUAAAUGGCAUCUAUUAUUAAAGUCUGCUUUGGCUCUGCCAACUAGCUGCCCAGUGUAGUUACCAUUACUUUCUAAUAGAUGGCAGCCAAAGCUAGUUGAAGUCACUACUCUAGCGACAGGGACACGGGAUUAGUGGGCGUUGAAAGUAGUUUUAUCUUCAAAGCAAGUUUAUCUGGUUACGCUUAUAUCUGUUGUUAUAGUGGACAAGCUAACUAAUACUAUUUUUACAUUAUUACAGCAGGCUAGAUUUACUAAACAGGUAUUAUUCAAACUCAAACCCUAUGUAAACGCGUUUGCUUCUGGAUAUGUGCGCCUUAUGGAAGAAACAACACACGCAGGUAUGAGACGCCGUACACCUAGUCUAAUUCUCCCUUGUGUCCAUAGGGUGAACUGGCGAUAAACUGCCAGUCUGUAUGCUCUGCAAACAAAAUCAUCAGAAACGUUAUUCUGAUACCGAAGCUAAAUCACAAUGCACUUUCCAUUAUUGGUUAGAAUGAGUUUUCAUGAAUCAUGAUGCUGUCUGCGAUUCCAACUCCGGUCGUCUAAUCUAAAGGUAAAUGUGUUACCAUUGUGCCAAACAGAGCUGGUAAUAAACAUCGUUGUAGGAUACUGAUUAAACAGUUGAAGUUGGAAGUUUAUGUACACCUUAGCCAAAUACAUUUAAACUCCGUUUCACAAUACUCUUAGCGAGUAUUGGCGCAACAAGCGCAUUCCAAGAGGACUGAGAAUACAGAAGGAACCUACAAUAGGGAAAAACGACAAAACUUUCGUUCAUCAAUGGGGUGAUAUACUCAAUAAAUGUUCACUAGAUUUAAUGUUAUUAAU